rnacentral:rRNA from 1 species
UACAGAGGUCCCAAGCGUUGUUCGGAUUCACUGGGCGUAAAGGGUGCGUAGGCGGUCGGGUAAGUCUGACGUGAAAUCCCGCAGCUCAACUGCGGAACUGCGUCGGAUACUAUUCGGCUUAAGGAAUGGAGGGGAGACUGGAAUUCUCGGUGUAGCAGUGAAAUGCGUAGAUAUCGAGAGGAACACCAGUGGCGAAGGCGAGUCUCUGGACAUUUCCUGACGCUGAGGCACGAAAGCCAGGGGAGCAAACGGG